rnacentral:rRNA from 1 species
AGUGAACGCUGGCGGUAGGCCUAACACAUGCAAGUCGAACGGCAGCACAGUAAGAGCUUGCUCUUACGGGUGGCGAGUGGCGGACGGGUGAGGAAUACAUCGGAAUCUACUUUUUCGUGGGGGAUAACGUAGGGAAACUUACGCUAAUACCGCAUACGACCUACGGGUGAAAGCAGGGGAUCUUCGGACCUUGCGCGAUUGAAUGAGCCGAUGUCGGAUUAGCUAGUUGGCGGGGUAAAGGCCCACCAAGGCGACGAUCCGUAGCUGGUCUGAGAGGAUGAUCAGCCACACUGGAACUGAGACACGGUCCAGACUCCUACGGGAGGCAGCAGUGGGGAAUAUUGGACAAAGGGCGCAAGCCUGAUCCAGCCAUACCGCGUGGGUGAAGAAGGCCUUCGGGUUGUAAAGCCCUUUUGUUGGGAAAGAAAAGCAGCAGGUUAAUACCCCGCUGUUCUGACGGUACCCAAAGAAUAAGCACCGGCUGACUUCGUG